CCGGGUGCAGCCCGGGAUUCUCGGGUGUCCUUAGCCCCGCGCCCCCCGCCCGCGUCUUCGCCCCGGCAGCCGCGGCCGCCCCGACUUACCCGCGGAGUCCGGGGAGGGACGCGAGCGCUGCCUUCACGCCCGCGGAGGCGGCGCCGGCAGCACCAUCGUCCCCGGCGCGGCUGCCGCUGCCCUGGGCCCGCUCGCUCGCCCGCCGCGCACUCUCUUCCUCGGGCAAACUUUCGGGGUCUGCGGUCGACAAGAAACCGGGGCGACUCUCUCAGCAAGUCUUUCCCCGUGCAGGUUGGGGGAAAUCGAAGGGGACGGGACGGAUUCAUCACCCCGGAUGCUGCCAAACUCCCAAGCCAGCACGUGCAGGUUCUAGCUGGAUGGUUUACACCAGGCCAGUUCUUCAUCAAAAUGCCUCAGGAGCCAACCCUCUGAAUUCCUACAAAGUGCUUCCCGCAGGAGAGCGAGACUUGCUGUCCCUUUGGUCUUGACACUAGCACAGUUGUAGAUAACAAAUAUCCUGAAAAGGAUAUUAUACAUUCUUUUGGGUGGUGUACUUUUACAAAUACGGCUAUACAUUCAUUGACAGGAGAUUCAAAUCUCCGUGUCAAUGACAGGCUACCACUUACCACUUUUUAAAAUUGUAUCUGCUUUGCAAGUAAAAAAAAUAAAAUUAUAACCAAGCCAUUCACUGGUGCUGUAGAAUCAGGCACGAGGGGCUGCGCUCAGCUAGUUCCAGCACAGCAGCAUCCAUGCAUGAGGCUCCGGCGCCAGGCUCCAGUCUACCCAGACAAAACCAUCCACCCGAUCUUCUAGGCUAGAAUCUGGAUAGAUAAAACACAUUUUAGUGUUGCGUUUCCUAGCUUCCCAGAGCUCGGUGUUCCUGUUGUCUUUGUCGAGACAUUAACACAUGUUCCCCUGUGUUCUAGACCAUAGAGUGGGCUUUUAGAGAUGCACAGAUAAAUAAAACUCCUGCCAGGAGCACUGCAGCAGCCUACAGCUGUCAAUCAUAACAUCUAAUAUUUAUUGAACGCUUUCUAUGGCCUAGGCACUGAUCUAAAAGCUUUAUGUCAACUCGCUUAAAACUCUCCGCACCCCUUCAACAGCACUGGAAAUUCCACAUUCUGAAUUCACAUGGCAUUAUUCAAAAAAAUCUACAUAGUAGCCAUUCUAUUGGGAAAUUUUUGUUUUUAAUUUCUGUGAUGUUUCUGCCAAAUAUAACUUGUUUAUGAUCUAUUGCCUGGUUGUAGAGACUGUCUCAGGGGAAUAGCAAUUUAUUUAGACGUGACACAUCUAUUAAUUGUCGGUGAGGUAUCAUCCUGAUCUUGUUUUUCAGAUAAGCCACGUGGGUUGUUGUUGUUUUUUAAUCAUUAUUGCCAUACUAAAAAGAUUCUUAGAUUGCCACUGAUCUCAGUCUGCAUUUUAACUGCCUUAAAUUCUACAUUCAUUUGCAAGUGGAGGCCAGAGUCAUGUUGGCAACAAGUUUUUAGACAAAAGGAAAUCCUGGCUGUAAAUCCCAUAAUAUAUGGCACUCUGCUUCAUAUGGGAUGGUCUAAUGCGGAGACUUAUUAAGGAACAGCUAUAGCCCGCUGGGGCUCCCGUUCCAGGGAACUUACUGCAGCUUAACGUCUGGCUCAUUGUCGACACCGUCACGUUACAUUCGUAAGGAGCAGAUUUUAAUUUCUUUAUCAGUAAUCAACUGGAAGUUUCUUUUUGUUAAA
ensembl:lincRNA